ensembl:lincRNA
CUCUAUUUGUUCCCAGUGGCCACAGCCAGGCUUCCCAAGCCCAGGCCCAGGUCCCACUCCAGAUUCACCACCAGUCUGAUCAAUCCCAUGGGGUUUUCCAGCAGUGCCAACCCUGUCUUCCUGCAACAGGCACAAUCAGGGGUUGGUUCUGGGCUGCAACCAGAGCUUCCUGUGAGAGAAAGCAGAACCUCCCUCUGAGGAGCAGGCCCCUCCUUUCUGUUGUUCACAGGACACCCUCCUUUACCUACCUGUGUCUUCCCUAACAGAACACUUGCAGAAGUAAGUUCUUGCUAGUGACUGACUCACUGGCCACAACUGGAAAAUAUAAAUAAUAAUCAUGUUUUGUUUCCGUGUGUUAGGCCUGAGUGGGAUUUACUUCAUGGAGAUUUUAGUCCAAUUUCCUUUGGAUGACAGCUGAGGAAACUAAGGCCCAAGGACACAAGGGACUUUUAACUCAUGUGUUCAACACUUGCCAAAUGCCAUGUAAAGUUAGUGAGCAAGGCCUGAUGAGAGCUAUUAUACAGAUGAACAAACUGAGAGCUAUCAAGGAUGACCAACUGUCCAAGGCCUUGGAACAGGGAAGGGCCUGAAUCAAGAUUUGAAACUGUGAUCUCAAAAGCACAUGUUCUCGCCACCACCAAGUCUCUGUCUCUGUGUCUACCAAGAUAUACUAGGAACUGGACCAAAAGGAGUGAUGCUUCAUUGUGGCCUGCAGGACUGGGCACCUCUGAGAGUCAGCUGGCAUCUGCAUUGAGCCUACUGGGGCCUAGCAUCCAGUUAGGCCCCCAGCCAUCUGCCCUUCAGUCAGACACAGCAGGGCGCGGUGGGACAAUGGAAAGAAGCAAGGAAUGUCUCCCUAUAUCAGCCUGUGAAGUCCUGCCACUGUACAAGGCCAGCUACCUUGUCCUAGAUGACUCCAACCUCUGUCUGCUGCUGCAGUCUUCCUGCCGUGGAACUGUGCUUGAAGAGUUGGCAUCUGUGACUUGUUUUCCUGUGAACAAGGCCAUGAACUUGGGCUGGUGCCUCAAAUGGCACUCACUUUUGGGCAUCUGUGCCUCACUCAUGUCUUUACAACCUUCAUAGGCCAGGGGGCCCUGACCUUCUGUCCAGAGACAAUCCUGUUCCCUCGCCUCCUUUAAACUACCUUGGCUGCUGCUAGAUCCUGCAGUAGGCCUGGUUUCUCAAGAUCAUUCCUACUGGGGCUCCUCAUUCAGCCAAUCCUGAGGGCCUAGGCUGGCAGCCAACCUCCUUUCACAGGGCUCUGUGUCUGACCGUCUUCCCAGGGCCACCACUUGGGACAUCUCCCAUUCCCCUCCCCCUUUCCCAGCAAAAGUCACCUUCCCCACUCUUUGGCUUCUGCCUGCUCUUGGUGCCAACUCACAGGAAAAGACUGGCUUCUUGUACUCCACCCCAUGGCCUGCAAAUCACACUUUGUCACUUGUUCCCUCUGCCCAGCAUUCUGUGAGCCACUUUGGCUCCAGACUUCUCAGAGUCAGUUAUGACAUGUGGCAAGAGUGUGGAAUUGAUAAUGUUCAAGUUUAGGCCUCACUAUGUAUUUGCUGCUGAUUAUAGGCAAAUGAUUUAAACUCUCUGUGCCUCUGUUUCUGUAACAUGGGAUCAUUACACUAUUUAGGUUUUAUGUGGAUUUAAAAGAUAAUGUUAUCUGGUAGAUCCUUCUUAAGGUGGCUCACCAAUUAAAUAUUAACCCAGGUUCUGGGUUACUCGACUAUUCUUCUAGAGUAAGAUUCCAGGUUCUUCUCAUGUCAAAGAAUUGAUCAAAAUGAGCAAACAAGGCAAAACAGAAUAAAACUAAACCAAAAAAAACAAUGAAAACGAUACAUUAUCUUUAAAACAAGAUAAUAGGGAAUUACAAUGGCCACCACUUUCAGAAGGAGAUCCCCCAUAGAUGCUAUACUGUAUGUUGUUAUCCUCUAAAUAGAUGAUCAGACUACUGGCUUUAGGCCUGCAAAGUCAAUGAAACACUAAACACUACAUGAAUUAAGUUGUAUUGAAAGUUAGGUUUCUUUUCUUUUUUUCUUUGUUACUGUGGAUCAAACUCAUGACCUCACACUUGCCAGGCAGGCACUUAAGCCACUGAGCUAAAUCCCCAGCCCUGUAUUUUACUUUAAUAGCUAUCUUCUCAAGCUGUGUUUCUCUGGAUCAGUCAGUUGCUUUGUGAGGGGGUGGG